AAAAAGACAAACCCUGGAUUUCCGUGUCCAAUGUUUGACUGUCCGUCUUAUAUAAAAUUUUUUAUAAUUAGUAUUUUCAUUAUUGUUAGAUGAUAAAACAUGAUUAAUACUUUAUAUUGACUUGUCUUUUUAAUUUUUUUCAUAAUUUUUUAAAUAAGACGGACGGUCAAAUGUUGAACACGGAAAUUCAGGGUUUGUCCUUUU
rfam:Oryza glumipatula chromosome 5, whole genome shotgun sequence.